rnacentral:rRNA from 1 species
AUAUUGCGCAAUGGGGGAAACCCUGACGCAGCGACGCCGCGUGAACGAUGAAGGCCUUCGGGUCGUAAAGUUCUGUCCUCAGGGAAGAAUAAAUGACGGUACCUGAGGAGGAAGCCCCGGCUAACUACGUGCCAGCAGCCGCGGUAAUACGUAGGGGGCAAGCGUUGUCCGGAAUUACUGGGCGUAAAGCGCGCGCAGGCGGAUGGGCAAGUCGGGAGUGAAAUCCUGGGGCUCAACCCUGGGACUGCUAUCGAUACUGCUCGUCUAGGGACCGGUAGAGGCCGGUGGAAUUCCCGGUGUAGCGGUGGAAUGCGUAGAUAUCGGGAAGAACACCUGUGGCGAAGGCGGCCGGCUGGGCCGGAUCCGACGCUGAGGCGCGAAAGCGUGGGGAGCAAAC